GACCUGCCGCGUCCCCAGAGAGUGGUUCAGCUGCCAACGUCUCAUGGGACCAGUUCAGGACUGGGAGACUUCGAGAGGGAGUUCUGUGACAAGAAACGCAAAACCAGGAGGCUCAAACUCAUAUUCGAUAAGGUUCGGUUACCAGGUGGACCAAAAAGCCCUCUGGAUCCCAAGAAGGAGGAGGGUGAACCAUCAACCCUGUACUCUGCUCUGCCCUCUAGUGACGCUCUUGAGAACGGCAACAACUCACAGAAGGCCCUUCUUGCCUUGUCUCUCAGAUGGUUCACAGCUUUGUGGAAGUUACCUGUGGUGCUGAUGUUUAGGCCGAG